rnacentral:rRNA from 1 species
GCGUUGUCCGGAAUCAUUGGGCGUAAAGGGCGCGUAGGUGGCGCGACCAGCGUGCGGUGAAAGCUCGGGGCUCAACCCCGAGUCGGCCGUGCGAACUGUCGUGCUGGAGCACUGUAGAGGCAGGCGGAAUUCCGGGUGUAGCGGUGGAAUGCGUAGAGAUCCGGAAGAACACCGGUGGCGAAGGCGGCCUGCUGGGCAGUUGCUGACACUGAGGCGCGACAGCGUG